AGAGUUUGAUCCUGGCUCAGAACGAACGCUGGCGGCAGGCCUAACACAUGCAAGUCGAGCGAUCCCUUCGGGGAUAGCGGCGGACGGGUUAGUAACGCGUGGGAACGUACCCUUUUCUACGGAAUAGCCAUUGGAAACGAUGAUUAAUACCGUAUACGCCCUUCGGGGGAAAGAUUUAUCGGAGAAGGAUCGGCCCGCGUUAGAUUAGGUAGUUGGUGGGGUAAUGGCCUACCAAGCCUACGAUCUAUAGCUGGUUUGAGAGGAUGAUCAGCCACAUUGGGACUGAGACACGGCCCAGACUCCUACGGGAGGCAGCAGUGGGGAAUCUUGGACAAUGGGGGCAACCCUGAUCCAGCCAUGCCGCGUGAGUGAAGAAGGCCUUAGGGUCGUAAAACUCUUUCGCCAGGGAAGAUAAUGACGGUACCUGGUAAAGAAACCCCGGCUAACUCCGUGCCAGCAGCCGCGGUAAUACGGAGGGGGUUAGCGUUGUUCGGAAUUACUGGGCGUAAAGCGCACGUAGGCGGACUGAUCAGUCAGGGGUGAAAUCCCGGGGCUCAACCCCGGAACUGCCUUUGAUACUUGUC
rnacentral:rRNA from 1 species